UACAGAGGGUGCAAGCGUUGUUCGGAAUUAUUGGGCGUAAAGCGUGCGUAGGCGGCUGCGCAAGUCGGUUGUGAAACCCCGGGGCUCAACCCCGGAACUGCAUCCGAUACUGCGUGGCUAGAGGUAGGUAGGGGAGAUCGGAAUUCCUGGUGUAGCGGUGAAAUGCGCAGAUAUCAGGAGGAACACCGGUGGCGAAGGCGGAUCUCUGGGCCUUACCUGACGCUCAGGCACGAAAGCUAGGGGAGCGAACAGG
rnacentral:rRNA from 1 species